ACGUAGGUGGCGAGCGUUGUCCGGAAUUACUGGGUGUAAAGGGUGCGUAGGCGGAUUUGCAAGUCAGGGGUGAAAACUAUCGGCUUAACCGGGAGCCUGCCCUUGAUACUGCGAGUCUUGAGUAUGGAAGAGGUAGACGGAAUUCCUAGUGUAGCGGUGAAAUGCGUAGAUAUCAGGAGGAACACCAAUGGCGAAGGCAGUCUAUUGGUCACUUACUGACGCUGAGGCACGAAAGCGUGGGGAGCAAACAG
rnacentral:rRNA from 1 species